ACAUGCAAGUCGAGCGGUAGAGAGGUGCUUGCAUCUCUUGAGAGCGGCGACGGGUGAGUAAUGCCUAGGAAUCUGCCUAGUGGUCGGGGGAUAACGUUGGAAACGGACGCUAAUACCGCAUACGUCCUACGGGAGAAANCGGGGGGAUCUUGGACCUCGCGCCAUUAGAUGAGCCUAGGUCGGAUUAGCUAGUUGGUGAGGUAAUGGCUCACCAAGGCGACGAUCCGUAACUGGUCUGAGAGGAUGAUCAGUCACACUGGAACUGAGACACGGUCCAGACUCCUACGGGAGGCAGCAGUGGGGAAUAUUGGACAAUGGGCGAAAGCCUGAUCCAGCCAUGCCGCGUGUGUGAAGAAGGUCUUCGGAUUGUAAAGCACUUUAAGUUGGGAGGAAGGGUAGUAACCUAAUACGUUGCUACUUUGACGUUACCGACAGAAUAAGCACCGGCUAACUUCGUG
rnacentral:rRNA from 1 species